rnacentral:rRNA from 2 species
AGAGUUUGAUCCUGGCUCAGGAUGAACGCUGGCGGCGUGCCUAAUACAUGCAAGUCGAGCGAACGGACGAGAAGCUUGCUUCUCUGAUGUUAGCGGCGGACGGGUGAGUAACACGUGGAUAACCUACCUAUAAGACUGGGAUAACUUCGGGAAACCGGAGCUAAUACCGGAUAAUAUUUUGAACCGCAUGGUUCAAAAGUGAAAGACGGUCUUGCUGUCACUUAUAGAUGGAUCCGCGCUGCAUUAGCUAGUUGGUAAGGUAACGGCUUACCAAGGCAACGAUGCAUAGCCGACCUGAGAGGGUGAUCGGCCACACUGGAACUGAGACACGGUCCAGACUCCUACGGGAGGCAGCAGUAGGGAAUCUUCCGCAAUGGGCGAAAGCCUGACGGAGCAACGCCGCGUGAGUGAUGAAGGUCUUCGGAUCGUAAAACUCUGUUAUUAGGGAAGAACAUAUGUGUAAGUAACUGUGCACAUCUUGACGGUACCUAAUCAGAAAGCCACGGCUAACUACGUGCCAGCAGCCGCGGUAAUACGUAGGUGGCAAGCGUUAUCCGGAAUUAUUGGGCGUAAAGCGCGCGUAGGCGGUUUUUUAAGUCUGAUGUGAAAGCCCACGGCUCAACCGUGGAGGGUCAUUGGAAACUGGAAAACUUGAGUGCAGAAGAGGAAAGUGGAAUUCCAUGUGUAGCGGUGAAAUGCGCAGAGAUAUGGAGGAACACCAGUGGCGAAGGCGACUUUCUGGUCUGUAACUGACGCUGAUGUGCGAAAGCGUGGGGAUCAAACAGGAUUAGAUACCCUGGUAGUCCACGCCGUAAACGAUGAGUGCUAAGUGUUAGGGGGUUUCCGCCCCUUAGUGCUGCAGCUAACGCAUUAAGCACUCCGCCUGGGGAGUACGACCGCAAGGUU